AAUAGAUACCCGGGUAGUCCACGCCGUAAACGAUGAGUGCUAAGUGUUAGGAGGGUUUCCGCCCUUUAGUGCUGCAGCUAACACAUUAAGCACUCCGCCUGGGGAGUACGGUCGCAAGACUGAAACUCAAAGGAAUUGACGGGGGCCCGCACAAGCGGUGGAGCAUGUGGUUUAAUUCGAAGCAACGCGAAGAACCUUACCAGGUCUUGACAUCCCACUGACCGGUAUAGAGAUAUACCUUUCCCUUCGGGGACAGUGGUGACAGGUGGUGCAUGGUUGUCGUCAGCUCGUGUCGUGAGAUGUUGGGUUAAGUCCCGCAACGAGCGCAACCCUUGAUCUUAGUUGCCAGCAUUUAGUUGGGCACUCUAAGGUGACUGCCGGUGACAAACCGGAGGAAGGUGGGGAUGACGUCAAAUCAUCAUGCCCCUUAUGACCUGGGCUACACACGUGCUACAAUGGAUGGUACAAAGGGCUGCAAGACUGCGAAGUCAAGCCAAUCCCAUAAACCAUUCUCAGUUCGGAUUGCAGG
rnacentral:rRNA from 1 species